rnacentral:rRNA from 1 species
AUUGAACGCUGGCGGCAGGCCUAACACAUGCAAGUCGAGCGGAUGAAGGGAGCUUGCUCCUGGAUUCAGCGGCGGACGGGUGAGUAAUGCUUAGGAAUCUGCCUGGUAGUGGGGGAUAACGUCCGGAAACGGGCGCUAAUACCGCAUACGUCCUGAGGGAGAAAGUGGGGGAUCUUCGGACCUCACGCUAUCAGAUGAGCCUAGGUCGGAUUAGCUAGUUGGUGGGGUAAAGGCCUACCAAGGCGACGAUCCGUAACUGGUCUGAGAGGAUGAUCAGUCACACUGGAACUGAGACACGGUCCAGACUCCUACGGGAGGCAGCAGUGGGGAAUAUUGGACAAUGGGCGAAAGCCUGAUCCAGCCAUGCCGCGUGUGUGAAAAAGGUCUUCGGAUUGUAAAGCACUUUAAGUUGGGAGGAAGGGCAGUAAGUUAAUACCUUGCUGUUUUGACGUUACCAACAGAAUAAGCACCGGCUAACUUCGUG